rnacentral:rRNA from 1 species
GGAGGGUGCAAGCGUUAUCCGGAUUCACUGGGUUUAAAGGGUGCGUAGGUGGACUGGUAAGUCAGGGGUGAAAUCUCCGAGCUCAACUCGGAAACUGCCUUUGAUACUAUUAGUCUUGAAUAUUGUGGAGGUCAGCGGAAUAUGUCAUGUAGCGGUGAAAUGCUUAGAUAUGACAUAGAACACCAAUUGCGAAGGCAGCUGGCUACGCAUAUAUUGACACUGAGGCACGAAAGCGUGGGGAUCAAACAGGAUUAGAUACCCUGGUAGUCCACGCCCUAAACUAUGGAUACUCGACAUACGCGAUACACUGUGUGUGUCUGAGCGAAAGCAUUAAGUAUCCCACCUGGGAAGUACGAUCGCAAGAUUGAA